GUAGGUGAACCUGCGGAAGGAUCAUUCACAAUAAUCCAAACAACUUAACCAAGCCUAUUGGCAGCAGCGCAGCAAGCUCAGCCUCACGGUUGAUGCGAGCCGCAGCCGCCGCAAUCAAAUCUAACCGAAAGGAAUCUAACUAAGCUCAUUCCUAAACCAAAUUCUCAACGAUGGAUAUCUCGGUUCCCAUAACGAUGAAGAACGCAGCGAAGUGCGAUAAGCAAUGCGAAUUGCAGAACCGUGAGUCAUCAGAUCUUUGAACGCAACUGGCGCCGACCGGUCCUCCGGCCGGCAUGCUUGUUUCAGUGUCUCGUUUCUCUCUCACCCACAUCUUAAUGCAAGAGAUACCCUUCUCUUGCCAAGCAUGAAAGCACUCUGCGCUCUGUGAGCGGCUUCUUCCUUACGGAGGAGGCUGCACUCAAUGCAGCAGUCACAUUGCUCCAAUGUGAACUCAUUGAGAGCAGAGCCAGUCAGUAGUAGCGGAAUGCAGCUGCUGGAGUGCUUAGCCACGCAAACUCUUUCUUUGCAUCUGAAAUCAAGCAGGACCACCCGCUGAACUUAAGCAUAUCAGUA
rnacentral:rRNA from 1 species